GGGGCUGAUAUAGCUUUCGACAAUUGGACUUUAUCAAGGUAUUCUGCGGGCCGACGAUACGCGUAACGUAUGUUUUAGUUGCAAAGUCUAAACUUGCAGGUGUAUUUGCUAGCUUAAAGAGCGUUUUCACUCCGAUGGCUGCUGCACCAGUCGCUGCUUAAUUUAAGCGACCGUCCUUGCUUUGCGGCAACAGGCAAAGCCUAGGGCGUCAUAUAUAUGUUGCUGGCUGCAUGUUCGGAAGCGGCGGACAUGCGGGACUUUCUCCGCGUAACGAAGCUUGGUUUUUUCGGUUUAUUUUUAAGCCGAGCAACGUUAUAAAAUAAAUUAAAAGAACCUAUGCUCGUAGACGAAUGUCAUGAUACCAGUUGGACCCGGGGGCGGUACCCGGCAGCUCCACCA
rnacentral:tmRNA from 1 species